rnacentral:rRNA from 1 species
GACGAACGCUGGCGGCGUGCCUAAUACAUGCAAGUCGAACGCUUCUUUCCUCCCGAGUGCUUGCACUCAAUUGGAAAGAGGAGUGGCGGACGGGUGAGUAACACGUGGGUAACCUACCCAUCAGAGGGGGAUAACACUUGGAAACAGGUGCUAAUACCGCAUAACAGUCUAUGCCGCAUGGCAUAAGAGUGAAAGGCGCUUUCGGGUGUCGCUGAUGGAUGGACCCGCGGUGCAUUAGCUAGUUGGUGAGGUAACGGCUCACCAAGGCCACGAUGCAUAGCCGACCUGAGAGGGUGAUCGGCCACACUGGGACUGAGACACGGCCCAGACUCCUACGGGAGGCAGCAGUAGGGAAUCUUCGGCAAUGGACGAAAGUCUGACCGAGCAACGCCGCGUGAGUGAAGAAGGUUUUCGGAUCGUAAAACUCUGUUGUUAGAGAAGAACUAGGACGUUAGUAACUGAACGUCCCCUGACGGUAUCUAACCAGAAAGCCACGGCUAACUACGUG